UGGAGCCGUCCCUCACAGCCCUCGGCUCCAAAUCUGUUUAUUGCUCCAGAGGCUGUUUUUCCAAGAACCUCGCUGCUUUAUAACAGCCAGAGCUCUCCCUUAAAACCCUGCCUCUCCAGCGAGGGCUCGCGUCACACUCAGCACGGAGGUGGGCGAGGAACAAAAAUAGACAAAUUAAGAAAACCUCAAAAGGCCAAAAAAAUGAAAAUGAACUGUGCAUCUCUUGGAAAACUUCUGAAGACUGUGUAGGGACAAGAUGCUCCAAGUGGUGACCAGUGAGACCCCGCGGUGCCUUUGUGGGUGAUGGCUUCGGAAAGUUUAAGGCACAGAAUGGAGCAGGAUGUGGUGACUGGGACUGGAAUUUGCCUAAAUGCAGGCUAUGGGAUGAUUCAGGGAUGGAACAAUGCCUCUCCCCUAAGGUAAGGACAUAAUGACCACUGCACUAUGUAAUUAUGUGACAUAUAAUAGUUUAACGUGUGCCUUUCAAAGAAUUCAGCUUGCUGCCAGCUCCCAAUCUCUCCACACAGCCAUAACAUAGAGAUUUUAUUCUUCCCCUGAUACAGAAUCCCAGUAAAUAAACAGUGGUCUUUAGAUAAAAUAAUAUUACCUUAAACACGUGACCAGCAUGUUCAGUCAGCUGUGAACUCAAACAAAGAGCUCGGACACAGUUUAGUGGAAAAAACCCACUCAACAUAUCAAACCACAAAUGGAUUUGUUUUCCUGAGGUAGUGAGAUGGGGGAGGAGGAGGAAAACCACCUCCUGCCCUGCAGGAGAGGGAUCUAUUUAG